rnacentral:rRNA from 1 species
UUUUCCUACGGGAGGCAGCAGUGGGGAAUAUUGCGCAAUGGGGGAAACCCUGACGCAGCAACGCCGCGUGCGGGAUGAAGGCUUUCGGGUUGUAAACCGCUUUCAGCAGGGAAGAUAGUGACGGUACCUGCAGAAGAAGCCCCGGCUAAAUACGUGCCAGCAGCCGCGGUAAUACGUAUGGGGCGAGCGUUAUCCGGAUUCAUUGGGCGUAAAGCGCGCGCAGGCGGGCUGCUAAGCGGGACCUCUAAUCUCGGGGCUCAACCCCGAGCCGGGUUCCGAACUGGCAGCCUCGGGUUCGGUAGGGG